GACGAACGCUGGCGGCGUGCUUAACACAUGCAAGUCGAACGGAAAGGCCUGCUUUCCCUUGUGGAUUGCGGGUACUCGAGUGGCGAACGGGUGAGUAACACGUGAGUGAUCUGCCCCCAACUUGGGUAUAAGCCUGGGAAACUGGGUCUAAUUCCCGAUAGGACUGCAGGGUGGUGCCUGUGGUGGAAAACGAUUUUCUAGUGGUUGGGGAUGAGCUCGCGGCCUAUCAGCUUGUUGGUGGGGUAAUGGCCUACCAAGGCGGCGACGGGUAGCCGGCCUGAGAGGGUGGACGGCCACAUUGGGACUGGGAUCCGGCCCAGACUCCUCCGGGAGGCAGCAGUGGGGAAUAUUGCACAAUGGGCGGAAGCCGGAUGCAGCGACGCCGCGUGGGGAUGACGGCCUUCGGGUUGUAAACUCCUUUCGACCGCGAGGAAGCCACCUGGUUGGAAGGGUGGUGACGGUAGUGGUAGAAGAAGCACCGGCUAACUACGUG
rnacentral:rRNA from 1 species